UCCUGGCUCAGGAUGAACGCUGGCGGCGUGCCUAAUACAUGCAAGUCGAGCGAACCACUUCGGUGGAGAGCGGCGAACGGGUGAGUAACACGUAGGUUAUCUACCCAUCAGACGGGGAUAACGUUUGGAAACGAACGCUAAUACCGGAUAGAAUGAAAAUUUAAAGAUGCGCGAGUCGCAUCGCUGAUGGAUGAGCCUGUGGCGCAUUAGCUAGUUGGUAGGGUAAGGGCCUACCAAGGCGACGAUGCGUAGCCGACCUGAGAGGGUGAACGGCCACACUGGGACUGAGACACGGCCCAGACUCCUACGGGAGGCAGCAGUAGGGAAUCUUCGGCAAUGGACGAAAGUCUGACCGAGCAACGCCGCGUGAAUGAAGAAGGCCUUCGGGUUGUAAAAUUCUGUUAUAAGGGAAGAAAGACUAGAGAAGGAAAGGCUCUAGAGUGACGGUACCUUAUAGAAAGCCACGGCUAACUACAGUC
rnacentral:rRNA from 1 species